rnacentral:lncRNA from 1 species
ACCUCGCGGUAGACGGCCGUGGCGGGUGUCACGAGCCCGUAGUUGUCAUCGCAGCCAGCGGCGCCCGCUGAGCCGCCCAGGACGCCCGGGAGAGAGGCGCUGCAAGAGCCUCCGGUGGUGCCCGAGCCCCCCUCGCCAGAGCGGCCUUCGCUGACCAAGUCGAGUUCGAGGAACUUCUGGAGUGCCAUGAUGACCUUGAAGGUGACAAUCCAUUCCUGGAAUGUCAUGACAGCUCCCAUGUGACAGAGUGAAAGCGGUACGCCAGAUCCACCGCCCAGAUGGCAGGAUGCUUACAGAAGGACAGACAAUACAGUGCAGAUGAUUCCAGUGGGCAGCAAGUGUUGAGAGGCACCAAACUGGGCCACAGACUUACAAGGUGACCCUAAGUAAAUGGACAGAUGUGGAACGGACCAUGAGAAGCUGGGCCUGGAGAGAUGGCUCAGCAGUUAAGAGCACUGACUGCUCUUCCAGAAGACCUGAGUUCCCAGCAACGUGGCUCACAACUAUCUGAAACCAAAUCAGAUGCCUUCUUAAUGGUUACCUGAACUGCACAUGGAUGUGUGCCAAAGACGGAAGACAAACCUCUUCAGUGCCACUGUCUAUGACAGCCCUACAUCCUUUAGUGGCGAGUUAAGGGGACAUGUUAUAAUGCAUUCCUGCAACAAAGUUCCACCUGUGCGUGAACACAUGGAUAGCCAGUGACCAUGUGGUGGCUGUCAUUUGUCUUUAUAAAGUAGUCUUAUGUGACUGGAGCUCAUGGAGUGGUGGCAUAUGCAGUGUCCGGGACACAGGAGGAACGCUUUCCUCAGAACGCCAGUUACACAUGUUUUCUUAACUUGAGUGGAGGUGGGAGGCAGGUGUGUUCUCUUGGGAACUCUUCCACCUGUGCACUUCGGUGCACUUCUUGAGUGUUGAUUUUACAUAUUUUUAAUAAAGAAAUUUGAAAGUGCCUGU